GACGAACGCUGGCGGCGUGCUUAACACAUGCAAGUCGAACGGAAAGGCCAUGCUUUUGUUGGGUGCUCGAGUGGCGAACGGGUGAGUAACACGUGAGUAACCUGCCCUUGACUUUGGGAUAACUUCAGGAAACUGGGGCUAAUACCGGAUAGGAGCUCCUGCUGCAUGGUGGGGGUUGGAAAGUUUCGGCGGUUGGGGAUGGACUCGCGGGUUAUCAGCUUGUUGGUGGGGUAGUGGCUUACCAAGGCUUCGACGGGUAGCCGGCCUGAGAGGGUGACCGGGAACAGGGGGACUGAGAUACGGCCCAGAGUACUACGGGAGGCAGCAGUAGGGAAUAUUGCACAAUGGGGCGAAGUCUGGUGCAGCAACGCCGCGUUCGGGAUGCCGGCCUUCGGGUUGUAAACCGCUUUCGCCUGUGACGAAGCGUGAUUGACGGUACUAGGUAAAGAAGCACCGGCUAACUACGUG
rnacentral:rRNA from 1 species